rnacentral:misc_RNA from 1 species
ACUCUUACAUAUAUAUAAACUUAAAAUAAGUCAAUAAGUACAAUUUUUGGUCCUAAAGAUUGUUAUGACUACUUAUUAUAAAAAAAUUUAAAUCAAAAAGCGCUACAAACAUUUAUACUCUAUAACAGCACAGAAAUAAUAUUUUGCUAUGCAAAAUUUUAAUUUACUUAAGUGACCGUUAUUCAUGAAACCGACAGAGUUUUAACUUCAU